rnacentral:snRNA from 1 species
AUCGCUUCUCAGCCUUUUGGCUAAGAUCAAGUGUAGUAUCUGUUCUUAUCAGUUUAAAAGAGCGUAGUGAAACUUUCUAACAGUCAUAAAUCUUACUUGUGUAGGUCUCUAGGGCAAUCGCUU